rnacentral:rRNA from 1 species
CCAAAAAUCUAGCCCACCCCCUAACUCUCCUGAUACCCCCCCAAUAAAAUAUUUUAACAAUUAAGUAAAGAAGAUUAAAAAAUUACUUUAAGCUAUAAACACGUACCGCAAGGGAAAGAUGAAAUAAAAAUGAAAUAACUUUAAGCACAAAAAAGUAGAGACCCCCACUCGUACCUUUUGCAUCAUGGUUUAGCCAGUCUAAUUAGGCAAAAAGACCCUUAAGUCUAACCCCCCGAAUCUAAGUGAGCUACUUUGAGGCCGCUUAACGAGCCAACCCGUCUAUGUUGCAAAAUAGUGGGAAGACCCCAAAAUAGAGGUGACAGACCUAACGAACUUAGUUAUAGCUGGUUUCUCAAGAAAAGAAUCUUAGUUCAACCUAAAGUUACACAAUAUAUAAAUAAAUUAACCCAACACUUUAGAGCAAAUCAAAUAAGGUACAGCCUAUUUGACACAGGAUCCAACCUUUACUUAAGGGUAACAUCACCCAGCCAUUUACAAGUAGGCCUAACAGCAGCCACCUUUAAAAAAGCGUCAAAGCUUAUCUUUGUCGGGACCAAUCUAAUAAUCUAACUCGACCCCUAUAACAGUACUGAGAAAUUCUAUAAAUUUAUAGAAGUUAUAAUGCUAAAACUAGUAACAAGAGGAUCAACCUCUCUUAAAUGCAAGUAUAAGCCAGAAAGAACCCCUCACCGGCAAUUAACAGACCUAAAUAAAAGUAGUAACUCCACCCCAGAAAAUUCUACUACACUAACUGUCAACCUAACACCAGAGCAUUACCAGAAAGAUAAAAAGAAAAAGAAGGAACUCGGCAAAUAUUAGUCCCGCCUGUUUACCAAAAACACCGCCUCUUGUAUUUAUAAGAGGUCCAGCCUGCCCAGUGACCCAGUUUAACGGCCGCGGUAUCCUAACCGUGCGAAGGUAGCGUAAUCACUUGUUUUCUAAAUAAAGACUAGUAUGAAAGGCACCACGAGAACUAAACUGUCUCCUUCUUCUAAUCAGUGAACCUAAUCCCCCCGUGAAGAAGCGGGGAUUUUUUAAUAAGACGAGAAGACCCUAUGGAGCUUUAAAUAUCACAACACCUGACUACCCCCCCCCCGGAUGAUUGNGUAUUUUUGGUUGGGGGGACCGGGGAAAAAAAUUUAUCCUCCAUGAUAAAAGGGGCCCCCCCCCACAACAAGCCACAGCUUUACGUACUAGAAAACUAACUCUAUUGACCCAAUAUAUUGAUUAACGAACCAAGUUACCCUAGGGAUAACAGCGCAAUCCACUUCGAGAGCCCCUAUCGACAAGUGGGCUUACGACCUCGAUGUUGGAUCAGGGUAUCCAAGUGGUGCAGCCGCUACUAAAGGUUCGUUGU